AUGCUCAAGAAACAGAGGCGCUUUCAGUUUGAACUCUACUGGCAGUUCAUCCAUGGCUUUCAGGAGGUGGUGGCAGCUGCCUGGAACAGUGUGCCAAUUAUAGCAGAUCCGGUUUAUUCUUUCAACAAGAAACUAAGGGCUGUUGCGAGGGCCUUGAAGGUGUGGAGUAAGACUAAAGUUGGUAAUCUCCAGAUGCAGCUCCUUGCGGCCCAGGAACUGAUCCUUCGAUUGGAUUGUGCUCAAGAUGACAGAACAUUAGUUGCUUAUGAGGCGGCCUUGUGCUCAAAGCUCAAAUCAAGGUGUCUGGGCCUUGCAGUCCUAUUACAGAUCAAGCAACGGCAACGCGUCAAGGUUUCUUGGUUGAAAGAUGGGAUGUCGAGCUCCAAGAUGUUCUUCAUCAAAGCUAACUCCCGCGCCAAACGAAGCGCUAUCCACUCUAUGAUCUCGCCACAUGGAUCGCUCAUUACUGACCAAGUGGGCAUCAUGAACAGCGCCGGGGAGCAUUUUUCUGCUGUUCUAGGUGCACCAAGCGUAACAGACUCCACAUUCUGCUGGGUUUUCUAA
rnacentral:rRNA from 1 species